rnacentral:rRNA from 1 species
AUACAGAGGGUGCGAGCGUUAAUCGGAAUUACAGGGCGUAAAGCGCGCGUAGGCGGCUUGGUCAGUCGGAUGUGAAAGCCCCGGGCUCAACCUGGGAAUGGCAUUCGAUACUGCCAGGCUAGAGUAUGGGAGAGGGAAGUGGAAUUUCCGGUGUAGCGGUGAAAUGCGUAGAUAUCGGAAGGAACACCAGUGGCGAAGGCGACUUCCUGGCCCAAUACUGACGCUGAGGUGCGAAAGCGUGGGGAGCGAACAGGAUUAGAAACCCUAGUAGUCC